GGUACAUUGUUUUUUCCAUGAUAAGCCCCGGAAACUUAUUAUGUUGAAUAUAAACAAUUG
rfam:Bacillus thermoamylovorans genome assembly, strain 1A1, contig: A1A_CC6